CCUUAGUCCGGCGUUCGUCGUCGUCGAGCGCGUUCCUCCGGGAUAUAUGCCACGAGUAUCGGAUCGGAGUGCUGAGGAAGGCGCGCCCUUGACCUGGCGGCAGGAGUCGGCGGAGGCGGUGUCCGCCGUGCUGCUGGGCUGGCCAUGGCCUUCCUUUGGCUCGUGCAGGAUUGUUGGUUCGGCUGGCCCCGGCUAUGUGGAAGACGGCCGAUGCGGCGGCCGUGGUGAUCCAGCACCCGCGCGCAUGGAGGCCUAGCGGCUAGCGCCUAUUCAGGCGACCCUAAUCGGCCUCCACGUCUCAGGUUGUGGAGGCGCUAGAUCGCUGAAGAUUCGCCCAGCUAGCCGGCGGUGGGCAGGCCCUCGUCUGCAGAUCGAGCAGAGGUGCAAGCGGCAGCCCUUUGCCCUGCUCUUUCAUGUUGUUCAUCUUUCAACAUCUCCGGAUUUCUCUCCGUCCGGGCAGCAGGCGCGGCGAUCAAUGGACGACUAUCAAGGAGUUUAACCCGUGUUAAGGAGUCGGAAGGCCAAGGGCUAACAACAACCAGGUUGUCAAUUAAUUUGUUCACAGCGCACUGCGCAGCCCCACGCCCGUUGCCUCCGUCCCACACUCCGGCAUUCCGCUGGAAUUAUGGGCUCGUCGCCUCCAACGGGCGGCUGGUGUCUUAUUUGGUGCUCUUGGUUUUUAGCCUAUGAUGCAGGAUCUACUCAUGCUGCUACCGGCGUCGUGGCAAGAAUAUCUGAUGGUGAGUUUGUGCUAGCUGCUGCAAGGGGAUACGACAAUAUUCAAAAUCCCCUGACAGCUGAAACACUCGCUUUUAGAGAUGCAAUUACUGAAGCAGUCAAAGAAGGAUGGCAGCAUGUCCAUUUUGAAACAGCUUGUCAAAUAGGUAGUGGAGAAGCUAAGGAAAAUGCUAGUAACUUAGUUCCCCUUAAAGGCGACUGGUAUUGUUUGGUUGUUCCUUCACCAUAUGAUGCUUGAUUUGUAUAACUUGAUUCUGUUUUACCAUAGCAUAAAGUACCAGGCCUAUGACAUACUUUCCUCUUUCUCAACUUUAAUCUUUCUGAUGUCCAUUUUUUAACAAAAUCCAUUGAGUCAUUGUAUAAAUAAACUGGCUUGAUAACUUAUUUAUAGAGACAAACGCUUGCCACGGGCGUUCUUUUGUUCA